rnacentral:rRNA from 1 species
GACGAACGCUGGCGGCGUGCCUAAUACAUGCAAGUAGAACGCUGAAGAGAGGAGCUUGCUCUUCUUGGAUGAGUUGCGAACGGGUGAGUAACGCGUAGGUAACCUGCCUUGUAGCGGGGGAUAACUAUUGGAAACGAUAGCUAAUACCGCAUAACAAUGGAUGACACAUGUCAUUUAUUUGAAAGGGGCAAUUGCUCCACUACAAGAUGGACCUGCGUUGUAUUAGCUAGUAGGUGAGGUAACGGCUCACCUAGGCGACGAUACAUAGCCGACCUGAGAGGGUGAUCGGCCACACUGGGACUGAGACACGGCCCAGACUCCUACGGGAGGCAGCAGUAGGGAAUCUUCGGCAAUGGGGGCAACCCUGACCGAGCAACGCCGCGUGAGUGAAGAAGGUUUUCGGAUCGUAAAGCUCUGUUGUAAGUCAAGAACGAGUGUGAGAGUGGAAAAUUCACACUGUGACGGUAGCUUACCAGAAAGGGACGGCUAACUACGUGCCAGCAGCCGCGGUAAUACGUAGGUCCCGAGCGUUGUCCGGAUUUAUUGGGCGUAAAGCGAGCGCAGGCGGUUUGAUAAGUCUGAAGUUAAAGGCUGUGGCUCAACCAUAGUUCGCUUUGGAAACUGUCAAACUUGAGUGCAGAAGGGGAGAGUGGAAUUCCAUGUGUAGCGGUGAAAUGCGUAGAUAUAUGGAGGAACACCGGCGGCGAAAGCGGCUCUCUGGUCUGUAACUGACGCUGAGGCUCGAAAGCGUGGGGAGCGAACAGGAUUAGAUACCCUGGUAGUCCACGCCGUAAACGAUGAGUGCUAGGUGUUGGAUCCUUUCCGGGAUUCAGUGCCGCAGCUAACGCAUUAAGCACUCCGCCUGGGGAGUACGACCGCAAGGUUGAAACUCAAAGGAAUUGACGGGGGCCCGCACAAGCGGUGGAGCAUGUGGUUUAAUUCGAAGCAACGCGAAGAACCUUACCAGGUCUUGACAUCCCGAUGCUAUUUCUAGAGAUAGAAAGUUACUUCGGUACAUCGGUGACAGGUGGUGCAUGGUUGUCGUCAGCUCGUGUCGUGGGAUGUUGGGUUAAGUCCCGCAACGAGCGCAACCCCUAUUGUUAGUUGCCAUCAUUCAGUUGGGCACUCUAGCGAGACUGCCGGUAAUAAACCGGAGGAAGGUGGGGAUGACGUCAAAUCAUCAUGCCCCUUAUGACCUGGGCUACACACGUGCUACAAUGGUUGGUACAACGAGUUGCGAGUCGGUGACGGCAAGCUAAUCUCUUAAAGCCAAUCUCAGUUCGGAUUGUAGGCUGCAACUCGCCUACAUGAAGUCGGAAUCGCUAGUAAUCGCGGAUCAGCACGCCGCGGUGAAUACGUUCCCGGGCCU